UCUUGAGAGCGGCGUACGGGUGCGGAACACGUGUGCACUAGCCUUUAUCUGGGGGAUAGCCUUUCGAAAGGAAGAUUAAUACCCCAUAAUAUGUUGAAUGGCAUCAUUCGACAUUGAAAACUCCGGUGGAUAGAGAUGGGCACGCGCAAGGUUAGAUAGUUGGUGAGGUAACGGCUCACCAAGUCUACGAUCUUUAGGGGGCCUGAGAGGGUGAUCCCCCACACUGGUACUGAGACACGGACCAGACUCCUACGGGAGGCAGCAGUGAGGAAUAUUGGACAAUGGGUGAGAGCCUGAUCCAGCCAUCCCGCGUGAAGGACGACUGCCCUAUGGGUUGUAAACUUCUUUUGUAUAGGGAUAGACCUACCCUCGUUGAGGGUAGCUGAAGGUACUAUACGAAUAACACCGGUUAACUCCGUGCCAGCAGCCGCGGUAAUACGGGAGGGUUGCAGCGUUAUCCGGGAUUUAAUUGGGGUUUAAAAGGGGUCCGUAAGGCGGGAAUCUGUAAAGUCCAGUGGGUUGGAAAAUUCCUUCAACCANGUUUUUAAACUUUGGUGGAAAAACUUGGGCCCAUUUUGGGAUACUUGGGCAGGGGCCUUU
rnacentral:rRNA from 1 species